CGUUUCUGGGCGGACAAUUUACUAAAAUACGAAUUACAUCUCCACAUAAAUUGCCUCAGGAGCAGUAAC
rnacentral:ribozyme from 1 species